CCUGGAGGGCGCUGCUCAAGGGGGUGCUCAGCGAUGAGGUCACCACCGCCAGCGGGGAGGGGCGGGGGCGCUGCCCGGCCACCAUCGAGGAGGGCAUCGAGGGGACGGUGGUGUGAGGGGUGGGCGUUGUGGUCAUGGUCAUGGUCAUGGUCAUGGUCAUCAUGGUCAUGGUCAUCAUGGUCAUGGUCAUGAUGGUCAUGGUCAUUGUCAUGGUCAUCAUGGUCAUGGUCAUGGUCAUUGUUGUGGUCAUUGUUGUGGUCAUGGUCAUUGUUGUGGUCAUCAUCAUUGUCAUGGUCAUGGUCAUUGUCAUUGCCAUGGUCUUGGUCAUCAUCAUCAUCAUCAUCAUCGUGAUGGUCACCAUUUCAUCAUCAUUGUCAUGGUCAUGGUCAUCACAGUCAUGGUCAUCGUCAUCAUUGUCUGUUGGUCAUCUUCAUCAUCGUCAUUGUCAUUAUAUCAUCGUCAUCAUCAAUGUCAUUGUCAUCUUCAUCAUCAUCGUCAUGGUCAUCGUCAUGGUCAUUGUCAUCUUCAUCAUAGUCAUCGUCAUCAUCAUCGUCAUGGUCAUUGUCAUCUUCAUCAUCAUCAUCAUCAUGGUCGGGGUCAUCGACGCUGUGGUGGUCAUCUUCACCAUCGUCAUUGUCAUCAUAGCAUCCUCAUCAUCAACGUCAUCGUCAUUGUCAUCUUCAUCAUCAUCAUCAACGUCAUUGUCAUCUUCAUCAUCAUCGUCAUGGUCAUCGUCAUGGUCAUUGUCAUCUUCAUCAUGGUCAUCGUUAUCAUCAUCGUCAUGGUCAUUGUCAUCAUCAUCAUUGUCAUGGUCGUGGUCAUCUUCAUCAUCAUUGUCAUGGUCAUGGUCGUUGUCAUUGUCACGGUCAUCGUUGCCAUUGUCAUGGUUGUAGUCAUGGUCAUCAUCAUCGUCAUUGUCAUCUUCAUCAUCGUUGGCGUGGUCUUCAUCUUCGUCAUCGUCAUCGUCAAGGG
rnacentral:lncRNA from 1 species